CUACGGGUUGCACCAGUUAGGAAUCUUGCGCAAUGGGCGAAAGCCUGACGCAGCGACACCGCGUGGGGGAACGAAGGCCUUCGGGUUGUAAACUCCUUUUGCACGGGACGAUGAUGACGGUACCGUGCGAAUAAGCACCGGCUAACUACGUGCCAGCAGCCGCGGUAAUACGUAGGGUGCAAGCGUUAUCCGGAAUAACUGGGCGUAAAGGGCGUGUAGGCGGUUGAAGUAGUCUCGCGUUAAAUCUCUCGGCUCACCCGAGAGGCUGCGCGGGAAACCAUUCGACCCGGGUGUGGCAGGGGUGAGCGGAAUUCCCGGUGUAGCAGUGAAAUGCGUAGAUAUCGGGAAGAACACCAAUGGCGAAGGCAGCUCACUAGGCAACUACUGACGCUGAGGCGCGAAAGCGUGGGGAGCGAACAGGAUUAGAUACCCCCGUAGUC
rnacentral:rRNA from 1 species